rnacentral:rRNA from 1 species
UACGUAGGGUGCAGGCGUUAAUCGGAAUUACUGGGCGUAAAGCGUGCGCAGGCGUCUUGCAAGACAGAUGUGAAAUCCCCGGGCUUAACCUCGGGGAACUGCAUUUGUGACUGGCACGGCUAGAGUGUGGUCAGAGGGGGGUAGAAUUCCACGUGUGAGCAGUGAAAUGCGUAGAUAUGAUGGAGGAAUACCGAUGGCGAAGGCAGCCCCCUGGGAUAACACUGACGCCUCAUGCAC